UCCGGUUUGUCACCGGCAGUCUCCUUAGAGUUCCCACCAUUACGUGCUGGCAACUAAGGACAAGGGUUGCGCUCGUUGCGGGACUUAACCCAACAUCUCACGGCACGAGCUGACGACAGCCAUGCAGCACCUGUGCUAGCCCCUUACGGACACCGGCUUUCACCGGCUUUAACUAGCAUGUCAAGCCUAGGUACGGUUCUUCGCGUUGCAUCGAAUUAAGCCACAUGCUCCGCCGCUUGUGCGGGCCCCCGUCAAUUCCUUUGAGUUUCAUUCUUGCGAACGUACUCCCCAGGCGGGAUACUUAACGCGUUAGCUACAGCAUUGCACGGGUCGAUACGCACAGCGCCUAGUAUCCAUCGUUUACGGCUGGGACUAC
rnacentral:misc_RNA from 1 species